rnacentral:sRNA from 1 species
UUCCACCCCUCCUCCCUUUCUUUUUCUCUCUCUUUUUUUCAGUUCCUUCUUGGAGGGACCACUCAGUAGAGCCUCUAAGGGACCCAAAUCCUUCAGACCUUUUGGAGAACCUGGAUGACAGUGUGUUUUCGAAGCGGCAUGCAAAACUGGAGCUGGAUGAGAAGAGAAGGAAAAGGUGAGGCCAGAGAUGUCCAUCCUGGAAACAACUGAGCCCUAGGACCUAGGACAGAGGAUCAGGGAACCUGACCUCCCUUUUUCAUGCUGUGGAGAAUCUUGGAGUACUUAACACUCUUACAUUACUGGCUUCCCAGUUGGUUGAAUAUCUUAGUUGGAAAUGGUAGUUGUUGUAGGUAAACAUGUUUGGCCUCUUUUUGUGUAUGACCUUCCUCAAUUCUACUUUCUGUGGAACACCAACACAUGAUCUAAACGGUAGACCUAAACAGCUCUCCCUUAACAAGGCAGUCAUUUCUCUUUACCCUGUCUAGAGGAGUCAGCAAGGGUCUUCCUAGCAUCUGGAUUGUGUGAGUUGCUUUUAUAGAGCAGGUUUUGGGUAAACAGUAAUGUUGGGUUUCUUUGUUUUGUUUGGUUUGUUUUUCCCAGAUGGGAUAUUCAGAGGAUCAGGGAACAAAGAAUUUUACAGCGACUGCAGCUCAGAAUGUAUAAAAAGAAAGGAAUUCAGGAAUCUGAGCCUGAGGUUACCUCAUUUUUCCCUGAGCCAGAUGAUGUUGAAAGUUUGAUGAUUACCCCCUUCUUGCCUGUUGUAGCAUUUGGACGACCAUUACCAAAAUUAACUCCACAGAAUUUUGAGCUACCCUGGUUGGAUGAGCGUAGCCGAUGCAGAUUGGAGAUCCAGAAGAAGCAAACACCUCACCGGACGUGUAGGAAAUAGCUGUGCUGGCAAGAACCCUGUCUUCAGAUAGUUGUAGCAUGCCAUUCCCGAGAGUGGCAGAGACCUGUAUAUGUGACCUUUGUCCUCACAUAUGUUAUCACUCGCUGAUAAUACCCUUUCAUACUUCCUUGACUUCGUUUUCAUUACUCUGAUUUCACAAAAACUCUUUAAUUCAGCUAAUUGUGAGUUAUGGAGGGUGAUUGGGAUUUCUUUUCCCUUUUUUGGGAAAUGGGCUCUCAAGCUAAAGCUAUAGGAUGGCAGAUUCAGAAGUUUCAGGGGUCUGUUUCUAUACAUUUGCCUAUGUUAAAGGGGUAAAAGGGCUCUCUUCAUUAGACAUGUGGAAGAUGAAGCAGCCCCUUCCUUUAGAGCUGUGCCUGCAUGGCACUCUUCUCACCCUGGUACACCCUCCUUAUAGUGGGUAUAGUGAUUUUUAACCCUAAAAUAAAACAAACAACCUCACCAUGAGCUUUAGGACCGGAAGAGGAAUGACAAGUGAAGCGAUGAAGCAAGCCAUCUUCAUAGAGUAGAAAAGACAUCGGAGAGUUGGUAGAUAACUGUCUGAAAAGAUAGUUGUUCACUUGAAACUAUUCUGUGAUACAGUCAUGUGGGAAGGGAUGUUUGGCUGUGAUGAUUUUUUCAGUUAAUGGAUAACAAUUUCUUUACUCCUCAAAAACCAAAAUCUUUGGAAAAGAAAGUGGGGAUGGUUAGUUUCAGAACAAGUUACAGCUGUAAACAAAAGCACUUAGUAUUUGGGAUGGCAUGCCAAAACCUGUAUAAAUGUCCUUGUAUCACAUCACUUCUCAAGUAUUCCUUCAUUGGGCUUCAUCCUUUUAGCAGAACUCUUGGUGGUGGGAUAGAGACUUAGGGAGGGUAGGGGUAGAGUGUGGAAAUACGUGCUUCCUUUGGCUGGCAAAUGUCUACAUCUUGAAACAAACAGAUGUACCUAAUGAGCUUCUCCAUUCACUUUGUAAAAAUAAUUUGUAUGUGUACCAUCUUGGUCCUCUCCCCUCCCGUUUUGUUAAAAUAUCAGGAUAGCACUCCCAGGCCACUUUGGUCUCAGUGUAAGAUCCCUAUUAACUAUCUGAAAGGAAAAUAGAGCCAAGACCUCUGGUCUCAAAUAUAUAGGAAUUGCCUUUCUUUAGUCUUCAGGACUAUUGUGUGAAAACAAGUAGGGGUCUAAUCUCCUAGAAGGUAGGGGCUUUUAUCCUUAAAGAGAAUAUGUCCCCAGAUUAUUAGCACUUUUAGAGGAGAAGCCAAGGUAUGUAGGGUGUGUGGCUGGCCCAUCAGUGGAGCACGAAGAGAGAAUGGGAUACCAUUGUGGGAAGAGAAGAAAAGUUCCUCAGGGGCCUCCCACUGCUAAAGCUUUUUGUGAGAUGUUGAUCUGUGCUUCCUGGAUUUGACUUUUAAAGGAAUUAUUCUGGCAGCACAUGUAGUAUUCUUGGAUGAUCUUGCUGCUCUUAUUUCUCCUUUUGUGUGUGUGUGUGUGUGUGGCUAUGGGUUUUCAUUUGUAACUCCAUCUGCUUAGGAGAGUGGGCUCUCUAUAAGGGAACCUGCUGUAAACUUCAUUGCAGCAAGGAUGUAGAGAGAAAUAGGACUUAAUUCCACUAGGGGCUCUCAUCUCACACCUUAAGGAGGAGAUUUCUAGAAAAACUGGGCCAGAUUUUCUUUGUUCUCCAUCAUUUUAAUGUGGCAGGCUGUUCAGUUUUCUUACUCUUACCUAUGUGGUAUUUCUUUGUAACGUGUCC